AUGGAUCAUCUAUAUAUAUUAUACACACUUGUGCACCAAUUGUAGGUUAACUCGAAAGAGUAGGACCUAUGUAUUUCUACAUCACACUUGGGGAAUUGUAUGUCUAUAACAUGUAAAUCUAUACAACUUUCAGCAACGGAUCUCUUGGUUCUCGCAUCGAUGAAGAACGCAGCGAAUUGCGAUAAGUAAUGUGAAUUGCAGAUUUUCAGUGAAUCAUCGAAUCUUUGAACGCACCUUGCGCUCCUUGGUAUUCCAAGGAGCAUGCCUGUUUGAGUGUCAUUUGAAUUAUCAACUCGUGUGCUUGACAUGAGAUUGGACUUGGAGGUUGCUGGUGGGGCCUUAUCAGCUCUUCUGAAAUGUAUUAGCGAUUGGUUUCGAGUGCAAGUCCUAAUAGGACAGACCAAUUAGCCUUUGACAUGAUAAUGAUAAUAAUCUUGUCGUAGUGAAUUUUUGGUAUUGCACAAAGAGGAGAGACUAUUGCUACUAGUAGUGAAAUUUGACCUUGACCUUGAC
rnacentral:sRNA from 1 species